rnacentral:rRNA from 1 species
GAUGAACGCUGGCGGCGUGCCUAAUACAUGCAAGUCGAGCGAACAGACGAGGAGCUUGCUCCUCUGACGUUAGCGGCGGACGGGUGAGUAACACGUGGAUAACCUACCUAUAAGACUGGGAUAACUUCGGGAAACCGGAGCUAAUACCGGAUAAUAUAUUGAACCGCAUGGUUCAAUAGUGAAAGACGGUUUUGCUGUCACUUAUAGAUGGAUCCGCGCCGCAUUAGCUAGUUGGUAAGGUAACGGCUUACCAAGGCAACGAUGCGUAGCCGACCUGAAAGGGUGAUCGGCCACACCGGAACUGAGACACGGUCCAGACUCCUACGGGAGGCAGCAGUAGGGAAUCUUCCGCAAUGGGCGAAAGCCUGACGGAGCAACGCCGCGUGAGUGAUGAAGGUCUUCGGAUCGUAAAACUCUGUUAUUAGGGAAGAACAAAUGUGUAAGUAACUAUGCACGUCUUGACGGUACCUAAUCAGAAAGCCACGGCUAACUACGUG